GUGUUGUAAUUCAACUCUUCUUUUAACAAUUUGUUAUUUGAUUCUUAGGUCAUAGUUCUAUUGGGUAUAGGAAGAUUAUAAUCUGAAAAAGAGCAAUAAUUUUUAGUGAAUAAUUUUUCCAACUAGAAUAAAACAUAAUUUUUCAAUUGUAAUUUUAGUAUUUGGAGAUUAGGUAAUUCCAGCACACUUUUUAAUCUAUAAAUAACAUUGUUCAC
rnacentral:lncRNA from 1 species